rnacentral:rRNA from 1 species
AUUGAACGCUGGCGGCAGGCCUAACACAUGCAAGUCGAGCGGAUGAAGGGAGCUUGUUCCUGGAUUCAGCGGCGGACGGGUGAGUAAUGCCCAGGAAUCUGCCUGGCAGUGGGGGAUAACGUCCGGAAACGGGCGCUAAUACCGCAUACGUCCAGAUGGUGAAACUGGGGGAUCUUUGGACCUCACGCUAUUAGAUGAGCCUAGGCCGUAUUAGCUAGUUGGUGGGGUAAAGGCCUACCAAGGCGACGAUCCGUAACUGGUCUGAGAGGAUGAUCAGUCACACUGGAACUGAGACACGGUCCAGACUCCUACGGGAGGCAGCAGUGGGGAAUAUUGGGCAAUGGGCGAAAGCCUGAUCCAGCAAUGCCGCGUGUGUGAAGAAGGUCUUCGGAUUGUAAAGCACUUUUAGUUGGGAGGAACAGCAGUAGGUUAAUACCUUGCUGUUUUGACGUUACCAACAGAAUAAGCACCGGCUAACUACGUG